GUUUUUUUAAACAAGGUAAGAGUGAUAUCUUUACAUUGCAGGUUGAAUGAGAAGCUCCUGCUUGACAAAGUGAGGAAUGUCUUGCGUAUCCUCGUCAGAAACCUUUUAUUAACUGAAUAGUUUCAUCAUACCAGGAGAUCAACAAAUCUGUAAAGAAAAUGGAUACACGGUACACCUGAAUAUCUGAAUUUCCAGGAUGAAUCCUCUACCUCAGGAAAAAGCUAUUUUAGAACUCAAAGGUGCAAGUCUAUCCAUCGUAGAAGAACGACCCUUUGAAAUUAUCCUCUGUGGAAGAUGCAAACAAAUCUACAAUUAAAUUAUCAGAUAAGGCGUAUAAAGGGUAAUAGUGUAACUUUAAAUCUUUCAAUCAAACAAGUGUUAGAAAAGAACAUCCAUAAAUGUUAAUACUGUAGCAAAGUAUUGUUGAUGGAUGUAAAUGUUAAAAUAUUUCUACUUCUCUUUGAGAAGGACAUGUACAUUGUCAUGAGUUUUUAAUAAAAUCUUGGUUCAGUGC